rnacentral:rRNA from 1 species
AGGACGAACGCUGGCGGCGUGCCUAACACAUGCAAGUCGAGCGAUGCGAUUCUUCGGAAUCAAUUAGCGGCGGACGGGUGAGUAACACGUGGGUAACCUACCUCAAAGAGGGGAAUAGCCUCCCGAAAGGGAGAUUAAUACCGCAUAAUAUGUUUUGAUCGCAUGGUCUUAACAUCAAAGGAAUUUUCUUCGGAUUAUUCCACUUUGAGAUGGACCCGCGGCGCAUUAGCUAGUUGGUGAGGUAAAGGCCCACCAAGGCAACGAUGCGUA